AUGGAGUUCUGGCUGAGCUGGGUUCUCCUUGUUGCCAUUUUAAAAGAUGUCCAGUGUGAGGUGCAGCUGGUGGAGUCUGGGGGAGGCUUGGUCCAGCCUGGGGGGUCCCUGAGACUCUCCUGUUCAGCCUCUGGAUUCACCUUCAGUAGCUAUGCUAUGCACUGGGUCCGCCAGGCUCCAGGGAAGGGACUGGAAUAUGUUUCAGCUAUUAGUAGUAAUGGGGGUAGCACAUACUACGCAGACUCCGUGAAGGGCAGAUUCACCAUCUCCAGAGACAAUUCCAAGAACACGCUGUAUCUUCAAAUGAGCAGUCUGAGAGCUGAGGACACGGCUGUGUAUUACUGUGUGAAAGA